GGUUAAGCGACUAAGCGUACACGGUGGAUGCCUAGGCAGUCAGAGGCGAUGAAGGGCGUGCUAAUCUGCGAAAAGCGUCGGUAAGGUGAUAUGAACCGUUAUAACCGACGAUACCCGAAUGGGGAAACCCAGUGCAAUUCGUUGCACUAUUGCAUGGUGAAUACAUAGCCAUGCAAGGCGAACCGGGGGAACUGAAACAUCUAAGUACCCCGAGGAAAAGAAAUCAACCGAGAUUCCCCCAGUAGCGGCGAGCGAACGGGGAGGAGCCCAGAACCUGAAUCAGCGUAUGUGUUAGUGGAAGCGUCUGGAAAGUCGCACGGUACAGGGUGAUAGUCCCGUACACAAAAAUGCAUAUGU
rnacentral:rRNA from 1 species